rnacentral:rRNA from 1 species
GGGAGGUAAAUUUCUCCUAAGGCUAAAUAUUGGGGAGAGACCGAUAGCGAACAAGUACAGUGAUGGAAAGAUGAAAAGAACUUUGAAAAGAGAGUUAAACAGUACGUGAAAUUGCCAAAAGGGAAGGGUAGGAGGUCAGAGAUGCCGUCUGGGAUUCAGCCUUGCUUUUGCUUGGUGUUUUUCCCAGUUGGCAGGCCAACGUCGGUUUUGGGCACUGGAGAAGGGUGGGAGGAAUGUAGCUUCGAU